rnacentral:rRNA from 1 species
GGGCGUAAAGAGCUCGUAGGUGGUUCGUUACGUCGGAUGUGAAAAUCUGGGGCUCAACCCCAGACCUGCAUCCGAUACGGUCGAGCUAGAGUUUGGUAGGGGAGACUGGAAUUCCUGGUGUAGCGGUGGAAUGCGCGGAUAUCAGGAGGAACACCAAUGGCGAAGGCAGGUCUCUGGGCCAAUACUGACACUGAGGAGCGAAAGCGUGGGGAGCGAACAGGAUUAGAUACCCUGGUAGUCCACGCCGUAAACGGUGGGCGCUAGUUGUGGGAACCUUCCACGGUUUCUGCGACGCAGCUAACGCAUUAAGCGCCCCGCCUGGGGAGUACGAUCGCAAGAUUAAAACUCAAAGGAAUUGACGGGGCCCCGCACAAGCAGCGGAGCAUGCGGCUUAAUUCGACGCAACGCGAAGAACCUUACCAAGGCUUGACAUAUAGGGAAAAGCGGCAGAGAUGUCGUGUCCGCAAGGGCUCUAUACAGGUGGUGCAUGGUUGUCGUCAGCUCGUGUCGUGAGAUGUUGGGUUAAGUCCCGCAACGAGCGCAACCCUCGUUCUGUGUUGCCAGCAUUUAGUUGGGGACUCACAGGAGACUGCCGGGGUUAACUCGGAGGAAGGUGGGGAUGACGUCAAAUCAUCAUGCCCCUUAUGUCUUGGGCUGCACGCAUGCUACAAUGGCCGGUACAGAGGGCUGCAAUACCGCAAGGUGGAGCGAAUCCCAAAAAGCCGGUCUCAGUUCGGAUUGAGGUCUGCAACUCGACCUCAUGAAGUUGGAGUUGCUAGUAAUCGUAGAU